rnacentral:lncRNA from 1 species
AGAAUGCUAGGAUCACAGACGUGAGCCGCCAUGCCUAGCCAUACUCCUUAUUCCUGAAGGGAGUGGGUACUGUCUCCAGGUUGUUUUAUGAUGUCUCUUCAGCCUCUCUAGAGCACCUGACCAGCUAGAUCUCAUGAGUUGAUUAAGUAGUGGCAGUGUGUUGCAGGGAGUGAGAGGAAAGAGGUGGGAAUGAGUGGGCUAACAUUCAGCUUCCUUGAAGAGCCAUCUCACCUCAAUACUGUGAGAGGAACAGUGGGAGUGACUCUUAUAGCUCAGACUUAUAGCCCAGGCUCUACUGGCAACAUCUAUUUUCUAAAACCCCGUGAAAAAGUAGGAGAAACUGCACCUCUGCAGUAGUUCUGUAUGUUUGUACUCUGGUGACUUGUCUUUUACUCUAGUGAAACAAAUCUGAAAGUAAAGCAGGCCCUCUCAGUUACUAGUGACAUGGAAGAUCACCUGGAGCUUCUGUCUGCCUUUGAUGGAGUAGUGAGAUGUGAGGCUCCCAAUAACAAACUGGACAAAUUCUCAGGAAUACUGACCUAUAAGGGGAAAAAAUACUUCCUGGACCAGGACAAUUUGCUACUUCGAGGCUGCAUCAUCAGGAAUACAGAUUGGUGCUAUGGCUUGGUGAUCUACACUGGGCCAGACACCAAAUUAAUGCAGAACAGUGGAAAGUCUACUUUUAAACGAACACAGAUAGACCAUCUCAUGAAUGUUCUUGUACUCUGGAUUUUCCUGCUUUUAGGCAUCAUAUGUUUUAUCCUAGCAGUUGGGCAUGGCAUUUGGGAAAACAAGAAAGGCUACCACUUCCAGAUUUUUCUGCCAUGGGAAAAAUAUGUCUCUUCAUCAGCUGUCUCUGCCAUCCUCAUAUUCUGGUCCUACUUCAUUAUUCUCAAUACCAUGGUACCCAUUUCCCUCUAUGUCAGUGUUGAAAUAAUAAGAUUGGGCAACAGUUUCUAUAUCAACUGGGAUCGGAAGAUGUUUUAUGCACCAAAGAAUACACCAGCACAGGCUCGUACUACCACCCUUAAUGAGGAGCUCGGCCAAGUCAAAUAUGUAUUCUCUGACAAAACAGGGACCCUGACUCAGAACAUUAUGAUUUUCAACAAAUGUUCUAUUAAUGGGAAGCUCUAUGGUAUGCGUGUCUUCCUGCUUUCCCCAAGUCCUGGGGAAUCUUUACUUUGCAGAUUGUUUUAAGACUAAUCUAGAUCUAACUCUAUAAGCCUCUGGAAUUCACAUUUACUUCCUAGUCUCACAACUGUCUCUAUUCUCUAAGCAAAGACCUCCUAGCCCAAACAGUUCUAACCAAAAAGUAUUUAUUUAGUGUCUUAUAGGUACAAUCUAUUAUGUUGGGAAUUGAGAAUACCAAGAUGUAACAGACCUAGUCUCUGUCCUCAAGGAGUUCCAAAUGUCUGUAUACUCAGUUCACUCAUGUAUUAAAUCAAAUGCAUGUUGGUCAAAGGGUACAAAGUUUCAGUUAGGCAGGAGGAAUAAGUCUUCAAGAUCCAUUGCACAGCAUGUUGAUCCUAGUUAAUAAUAAUGUAUUGCAUAUUUCAAAAUUGCUAAAAGAGUUUUAAAUGUUCUCACUACAAAAAAAGUAUGUGAGGUGAUGUUAGUUAGCUUGAUAUAAUCAUUCCACAGUGUAUAUAUGUAUGAAAA